rnacentral:rRNA from 1 species
ACACAUGCAAGUCGAGCGAGAAAUUACUCAAUGAAUCUUCGGAAGAAUUGAAUAAUGGAAAGCGGCGGACGGGUGAGUAACGCGUGGGCAACCUGCCUUUCACAGAGGGAUAGCCAAAGGAAACUUUGAUUAAAACCUCAUAAAGCCGAAAUGUUGCAUAGCAAGACGGCCAAAGAUUUAUCGGUGAAAGAUGGGCCCGCGUCUGAUUAGUUAGUUGGUGGGGUAACGGCUCACCAAGGCGACGAUCAGUAGCCGACCUGAGAGGGUGAUCGGCCACAUUGGAACUGAGACACGGUCCAAACUCCUACGGGAGGCAGCAGUGGGGAAUAUUGCACAAUGGGCGCAAGCCUGAUGCAGCAACGCCGCGUGAGCGAAGAAGGCCUUCGGGUCGUAAAGUUCUGUCCAUAGGGAAGAAACAAAUGACGGUACCUGUGGAGGAAGCCCCGGCUAAAUACGUGCCAGCAGCCGCGGUAAUACGUAUGGGGCAAGCGUUAUCCGGAAUUAUUGGGCGUAAAGAGUGCGUAGGUGGUGGCUUAAGCGCAGGGUUUAAGGCAAUAGCUUAACUAUUGUUCGCCUUGCGAACUGGGUCACUUGAGUACAGGAGAGGAAAGCGGAAUUCCUAGUGUAGCGGUGAAAUGCAUAGAUAUUAGGAGGAACACCGGUGGCGAAGGCGGCUUUCUGGACUGCAACUGACACUGAGGCACGAAAGCGUGGGUAGCAAACAGGAUUAGAUACCCUGGUAGUCCACGCCGUAAACGAUGAGCACUAGGUGUCGGCCGAUAAAGGUCGGUGCCGCAGUUAACGCAUUAAGUGCUCCGCCUGGGGAGUACGCACGCAAGUGUAAAACUCAAAGGAAUUGUCGGGGACCCGCACAAGCAGCGGA